rnacentral:other from 1 species
CGUCCCCUGCGGUGCGCGUGUCCGUUCCAGACAUCCUCUGAACCUAUAGCUCAUAGAACGGGAGCCAGACAGUAGAUGCUGUUGUGCAGGUCCGCCCCGGAGCGGAAAGCCUUAAGGCAUCUCGGAGGCACCCACUUGAACCGCACGGUUCAAGGUGACGGAGCGGCACGGCAUUCGCGGAGGGCGC